rnacentral:rRNA from 1 species
UACAGAGGUGGCAAGCGUUGUUCGGAAUUACUGGGCGUAAAGGGCGAGUAGGUGGCCAUCUAAGUCAGACGUGAAAUCCUCCGGCUUAACCUGGGAACUGCGUCUGAUACUGGACGGCUUGAGUAUGGGAGAGGAACGUAGAAUUCCAGGUGUAGCGGUGAAAUGCGUAGAUAUCUGGAGGAAUACCGGUGGCGAAGGCGGCGUUCUGGACCAUUACUGACACUGAAUCGCGAAAGCUAGGGGAGCAAACGGG